AUACAUCUCUGUCAGACCUGGAGCAGUUAAUGUCUGCUGCUGAGGUUUCUACUACAGAUGCAAUAGAAAGAUGGUCCUUGCACUUUCUGUCUGGUUGUGGCAGCCAAGAUUGAGUGGGGGAAUACAGGA
rnacentral:snoRNA from 1 species